CUUAUUCUGGUUGCCAAUCAGGCCUUGCGCGUGCCGCCUUCGCGUUUUAUCCGCACGCUCCGCGUGGCCGCCGGGUUUGACGUGGCGGAUAACGAAAUCGUGCGUCAAUGCGAAGCGGGCGAUCUGGUGAUUACCGCGGAUAUUCCGCUGGCGGCUGAAGUGCUGGAAAAAGGCGCUGCGGCUCUUAAUCCCCGGGGAGUACGCUAUAGCGACGCCACGAUUCGCGAACGUCUGACGAUGCGUGACUUUAUGGACAC
rnacentral:misc_RNA from 1 species